UACGUAGGGUGCGAGCGUUGUCCGGAAUUAUUGGGCGUAAAGGGCUCGUAGGCGGUUUGUCGCGUCGGGAGUGAAAACACCGGGCUUAACUCGGUGCUUGCUUUCGAUACGGGCAGACUAGAGGCAUGCAGGGGAGAACGGAAUUCCUGGUGUAGCGGUGAAAUGCGCAGAUAUCAGGAGGAACACCGGUGGCGAAGGCGGGUCUCUGGGCCGAUACUGACGCUGAGGAGCGAAAGCAUGGGGAGCGAACAGG
rnacentral:rRNA from 1 species